GCCCGGGUGUCUUAUUUGGUAGAGAGUCUGACUCUUGAUAUCAGGUCCUUUGAUCUCAGGAUUGUGAGUUCAAGCCCUGCCCUGGGCA
rnacentral:tRNA from 1 species